rnacentral:lncRNA from 1 species
CAUCAACAAGCUGCCCCACAUGGUCUCUCCCAAUAACUCCGAUAGCUGCUGAGCCAUUUUUAAAAGCUCCAUCACAAUUAAACUUCACCUUAUUCACAGGGGGAGGGAUCCACUGUAGUGAAGAAACAACUGUGGAGCUUCUAGACUCUAAACAUGAUGUUUCUAAUAAAGAUAAAAACUCUGCCUGAGCUUGAACACUAGCCUUUAAAGUCGAAACAAGGCUGACUGGAACAUUUUCGUAAACAAACUUAUUUCUGGAUACCCAAACAGACCAUCCCACAAAAGCAAAUGUCGAAAGGAAAAACAACACAUCCUUCUUCGACUCAAACAUUGAUAUCAUAGAAGAUAACCACUGAAUAACAGAACUUGAAGGCAGAGAAGAUCUUAGAAGACC